GGGGCCGGGAGGCGCAGGCUUGGCCCCCUUUCAUCCCCACGCUGGUGUUGAAAAUGCUGAAGCCUCCCGCAGAGGUAGAACACUCUUGGUGCAGAAUCCCAAUUCAAAUGAAUGCCCACACCUGGAUCCCACCCGCAGCCGCCAUAAAGACACAGCCAAUGGCCAUCAGAAAGGAC